GGGUUAUUAAAUAGCUUGUUAAGUGCCCCUUUGCAUAUCCUCACCAGUUGAACCUGAAUCUUUUUUGUUUACCGGCUCCCCGAUGCCAAUCUUACCCGUUUAACCGGUGAACGUAACAAUUGGCAACCGUGACAGGAUCCUUAUAACCCGUUCUCAAUGUUCCAUUUUUCUAGUGACUUUUUUGUGAUUACAUUGUCUUUUUUCUUUCUGUGGUGUUGACUGUUUUUUUUGUGACUUGCUCUGCGUGUGGUUUAAAUUUACCUUUGUGCGAUCAAGUGGCUCUCUUUGGGUUGAAAGUGCUUCGUGACCUUCAUUGGUAUCACAUAACAGUGGUAGAGCAGGAAACCAAGUAGAAAACAGUGGUAGAGCAGGAAACCAAGUAGAAAGGCUUGUUCACCGAUAGCAUUUCUAUUUGCACAUACAGGUGUAAUAAGUGUUAUCCAAGUGUUGGGAUCGUAUGUUCAUGUGAACCCUCAAUCCCCUCACUUCGCGGAUCAUUUUUCUCGCUAGUUAUAAUUGGCCCUUUUAAUUAGUCCCGACUAAUCCGCUUCCUUUUCAAUAACAAGUCCCAGUAUAAUUCACUCCUUAUCUUCUGUAGUCUCGUAACUAAUCCGGAUCCCUUUUAAUACCUACAAGAAGGCUCUUCCAACUUUUUUUUUUUUGGCCAGGAAUAAAAAUGUCGCUAUAUAAAAACGGGUCCUAAAAAAUGUCGCUAUAUCAAAAACAUGUCAAAUUGUGGGUAGGCCUAACGAACCCCUCAACCUUCCUGUGAUGACCGCUUGGUGCCGCUCACCGUGCGGCACCUGUUGGUAGAGUGCCCUAGUUUGACAGUUACGUCACCGCUACCUCUACCGCUGUCGGGGUAAAGAUAGCGGUGUCUAAUUAUAUCUCGAAGGUCCUUGGACCAGAGUGCCUGGUUAACGCCAUGACGUUUUUAGCUUUUUGGGAGAAGCUGGACUUCUCCCAAAUUUGUGAAUUUUAUCUGAUUUUAUGUAUUUUAAUGCCUUAAAUUUUAUUGUAUACUGUAUUUUAGUUUCUUUUGAUUCUAGGAUUUUUGUUUGGUUUUAGUUUUGUAGUUUUUAAUUGCUUUUAGUUUUUUUUAUUUUAUGGUCUUUUUUUAGUUAGUUUUUUAUUUUAUCGUGUCCUUUUCAUAUUUCGUAGCGGCGCCAGAUGACGCUCCUAACGAACGCUUUGUGCCAGCUCCUCUGACGCCUAUUCCAGUUCAGAUGGAGCCGUUCGAAAAGAUCCUUCUGGACUGCGUAGGGCCCUUACCCAAACCAAACGAGGGAAUCGGUAUUUGUUAACCGUCAUGGAUCCCACUACCAGAUGGUGAAUGAGCUAAACAUCGACCAUGUAACCUCGGCUUACCACCCCCGAUCCCAAGGUUGUCUGGAGCGGUUUCACCGAACAUUAAAAUCCAUGAAGUAUUGCUUGGAGCAUCAAGGAGACUGGGAUGAAAGUAUCUCUUUUCUCUUCGCCUUAAGAGAUUGUCAUCAACGAACCUAGGUUAACAUCUAAGCCAGAUGGUAGUAGUCGAUUUUGCACCGACUACAGGAAAUUAAAUAAAGUGACGGUACCAGACUCCUACCCAUUGCCCUUGAUAGAGGACCUUAUAGGUA
rnacentral:lncRNA from 1 species